rnacentral:rRNA from 1 species
GAUGAACGCUAGCGGCAGGCUUAACACAUGCAAGUCGAGGGGCAGCGCGGGAUAGCAAUAUCCUGGCGGCGACCGGCGGAAGGGUGCGUAACGCGUGAGCGACAUGCCCGUUGCCCGGGGACAACCGGUGGAAACGCCGACUAAUCCCCGAUGGGAUACGAUGCUUCAUGGCAUUGUAUUGAAAGUUACGGCGGCGUCGGAUUGGCUCGCGUCCGAUUAGCUGGUUGGCGGGGUAACGGCCCACCAAGGCUGCGAUCGGUAGGGGUUCUGAGAGGAAGGCCCCCCACAAUGGGACUGAGACACGGCCCAUACUCCUACGGGAGGCAGCAGUGAGGAAUAGUGGUCAAUGGGCGGAAGCCUGAACCAGCCAUGCCGCGUGCGGGAAGGAGGCCCUAUGGGCUGUGAACCGCUUUUGCCUGGGGGCAAUAAGGGCGUCGCGCACGUCCGAUGAGAGUACCAGGCGAAUAAGCAUCGGCUAACUCCGUG